rnacentral:rRNA from 1 species
GCUUAGCCCUAAGCCUUUAAUUACAUCUCAAACGCCAGGGAACUACGAGCAAAGCUUAAAACCCAAGGGACUUGACGGUACCCCAUAUCCACCUAGAGGAGCCUGUCCUAUAAUCGAUAACCCCCGUUCAACCUCACCACCUUUAGCUUAUCAGCCUGUAUACCUCCGUCGUCAGCUUACCGCAUGAGUGCCCUAAAGUAAGCUUAAUGUCCUCACCCGUCAAUACGUCAGGUCAAGGUGCAACUAAUAAGAUGGGAAGAGAUGGGCUACACUUUCUAAGAUAGAACAUACGGAGAACUAAUAUGAAAUCUAGUUUAAAGGCGGAUUUAGCAGUAACAGGGAUAAUAGUGCCCCUUUUAAUCAGGCCCUGGGGUGUGUACACACCGCCCGUCACCCUCCUCGCAGCUCUCGUAGAAGUAUUUAACAAAACCUAAUAUUGUAGAGGAGGUAAGUCGUAACAUGGUAAGUGCACCGGAAGGUGCGCUUGGAAA